rnacentral:rRNA from 1 species
GACGAACGCUGGCGGCGUGCUUAACACAUGCAAGUCGAACGGAAAGGCCCUGCUUUUGUGGGGUGCUCGAGUGGCGAACGGGUGAGUAACACGUGAGUAACCUGCCCUUGACUUUGUGAUAACUUCAGGAAACUGGGGCUAAUACCGGAUAGGAGCUCCUGCUGCAUGGUGGGGGUUGGAAAGUUUCGGCGGUUGUGGAUGGACUCGCGGCUUAUCCGCUUGUUGGUGGGGUAGUGGCUUACCAAGGCUUUGACGGGUAGCCGGCCUGAGAGGGUGACCGGCCACAUUGGGACUGAGAGACGGACCAGACUCCUACGGGAGGCAGCAGUGGGGAAUAUUGCACAAUGGGCGGAAGCCUGAUACAGCAACGCCGCGUGCGGGAUGACGGCCUUCGGGUUGUAAACAGCUUUCGCCUGUGACGAAGCGGGAGUGACGGUAAUGGGUAAAGAAGCACCGGCUAACUACGUG